rnacentral:rRNA from 1 species
AUUGAACGCUGGCGGCAGGCCUAACACAUGCAAGUCGAACGAGUGGCGGACGGGUGAGUAAUGUCUGGGAAACUGCCAGAUGGAGGGGGAUAACUACUGGAAACGGUAGCUAAUCCCGCAUACCAUCGGAUGUGCCAAGAUGGGAUUAGCUAGUAGGUGGGGUAAAGGCUCACCUAGGCGACGAUCCCUAGCUGGUCUGAGAGGAUGACCAGCCACACUGGAACUGAGACACGGUCCAGACUCCUACGGGAGGCAGCAGUGGGGAAUAUUUCACAAUGGGCGCAAGCCUGAUGCAGCCAUGCCGCGUGUGUGAAGAAGGCCUUCGGGUUGUAAAGUACUUUUAUCGGGGAGGCGUUACCCGCACAAGAAGCCCCGGCUAACUCCGUGCCAGCAGCCGCGGUAAUUC